rnacentral:rRNA from 1 species
GACGAACGCUGGCGGCGUGCUUAACACAUGCAAGUCGAACGGAAAGGCCCUGCUGUUGUGGGUUUCUCGAGUGGCGAACGGGUGAGUAACAAGUGAGUAACCUGCCCUUGACUUUGGGAUAACUUCAGGAAACUGGGGCUAAUACCGCAUAGGAGCUCCUGCUGCACGGUGGGGGUUGGAAAGGUUCGGCGGUUGGGGAUGGACUCGCGGCUGAUCAGCUUGUUGGUGGGGGAGUGGCUUACCAAGGCUUAGACGGGUAGCCGGCCUGAGAGGGGGGACGGGCACCAGGGGACUGAGAGACGGAGCAGACGCGAACGGGACGCAGUAGGCGGGAGCAUUACGCAGUGAGGGCACGCGUGAUGCGGCAGCGCCGGGUGUGGGAUGACGGCCUUGCGGUGGUGAACCGAUUUCGCCUGAGACGAAGCGUGAGUGACGGUAAUGGGUAAAGAAGCACCGGCUAACUACGUG